rnacentral:tRNA from 1 species
GGGGGAUUAGCUCAGUUGGGAGAGCGCUUGAAUGGCAUUCAAGAGGUCGUGAGUUCGAAUCUCAUAUCCUCCA